rnacentral:rRNA from 1 species
AGCAGUCGCCACGGGAAUACAGAGGGUGCGAGCGUUAAUCGGAUUUACUGGGCGUAAAGCGUGCGUAGGCGGCUUCUUAAGUCGGAUGUGAAAUCACUGAGCUUAACUUAGGAAUUGCAUUCGAUACUGGGAAGCUAGAGUAUGGGAGAGGAUGGUAGAAUUCCAGGUGUAGCGGUGAAAUGCGUAGAGAUCUGGAGGAAUACCGAUGGCGAAGGCAGCCAUCUGGCCUAAUACUGACGCUGAGGUACGAAAGCAUGGGGAGCAAACAGGAUUAGAUACCCCCGUAGUCCCUGUCUCUUAUAC